rnacentral:rRNA from 1 species
GAUCCUGCUCAGAACGAACGCUGGCGGCAGGCUUAACACAUGCAAGUUGAACGGGAUUUGUGUGGUGCUUGCACCAUAUAAUGAGAGUAGCGCACUGGUGAGUAACACGUGGGAACGUACCUUUUGGUGGGGGACAACAUCUGGAAACGGAUGCUAAUACCGCAUAAGACCUGAGGGUGAAAGAUUUAUCGCCGAAAGAACGGCCCGCGGAAGAUUAGGCAGUUGGUGGGGUAAAGGCCUACCAAACCUACGAU